rnacentral:rRNA from 1 species
GACGAACGCUGGCGGCGUGCUUAACACAUGCAAGUCGAACGGAAAGGCCCAGCUUUCUGGGUGCUCGAGUGACGAACGGGUGAGUAACACGUGGGUGGUCUGCCCCUAACUUCGGGAUAAGCUUGGUCAACUGGGUCUAGUACCUGAUAGGACAUUCGUUUAGUCUCGGUUGUGGAAAGUUUUUUAGGUUAGAGAUGUCCCCGCGGGCUAUCAGCUUGUUGGUGGGGGAAGUGCCUACCAAGGCGUCGGAGGGUGGCCGGCCUGAGAGGGUGGACGGCCACAUUGGGACUGAGAGACGGCCCAGAAUCGUACGGGAGGCAGCAGUGGGGAAUAUUGCGAAGUGGGGGCGAGCCUGAUGUGGCGGCGCCGCGUGGGGGAUGACCGCCUUCGGGUUGUAAACCUCUUUCGACAGGGACGAAGCUUUGGUGACGGUACCUGUAUAAGAAGCACCGGCUAACUACGUG